rnacentral:rRNA from 1 species
AGCGAACGCUGGCGGCAGGCUUAACACAUGCAAGUCGAACGGGCGUAGCAAUACGUCAGUGGCAGACGGGUGAGUAACGCGUGGGAACGUACCUUUUGGUUCGGAACAACCCAGGGAAACUUGGGCUAAUACCGGAUAAGCCCUUACGGGGAAAGAUUUAUCGCCGAAAGAUCGGCCCGCGUCUGAUUAGCUAGUUGGUGAGGUAAUGGCUCACCAAGGCGACGAUCAGUAGCUGGUCUGAGAGGAUGAUCAGCCUCAUUGGGACUGAGACACGGCCCAAACUCCUACGGGAGGCAGCAGUGGGGAAUAUUGGACAAUGGGCGCAAGCCUGAUCCAGCCAUGCCGCGUGGGUGAUGAAGGCCCUAGGGUUGUAAAGCCCUUUCGGCGGGGAAGAUAAUGACGGUACGCAAGAAUAAGCCCCGGCUAACUUCGUGCCAGCCGCCGCCGUAAU